CUGUCGAGCCUCUGCCUCCCCCCUGAUUCAGUGGUUCUACAGUACGCUGAUGAUCUCCUGGUAACUGCUACCGAAUAUGACACCUGCCAGACAGCCACUCUGGCCCUACUCAAGCACCUGGCUGCAGAGGGUUUCAAAGUAUCCAAGACGAAACUACAGUUCUGCCAGAACACUGUCCGGUACCUGGGCUAUGAACUCUCUCAGGGUUCCAGGAAACUGACUGCUGAACGAAUACAAGUCAUCAUGGACACUCAGCGGCCCGUCACUAAACAGGCACUGCAGGCUUUCCUCGGCCUUAUCAACUACUGCCGUCAGUGUAUUCCAGACUGCUCUUUGUAUGACAAGUGUCUGCACACUGUAGUGAAGCACUCUGAUCCCUCAACCGCGCCCUUGACAUGAAAUCCGGAAAUGCUGGCCGCCUUCGGGGCCUUGAAACGAGCCCUGUGUACGGCUCCCACACUUGGACUGCCUAACUACAGCCUUCCGUUCCACCUGUACGUGGCAACUCAACCAGGAACAGCAUCUGGGGUGUUGGCUCAGGAACAUGGGGGAGGCAUGCGACCUUGUGCGUUUCUUUGAAAAUCCCUUGACUCCGUGGCUCAGGGUUUGCUCAGGGUCUUCGUGCCGUUGCCUUCUGUGCUCUGAUGGUAACUGAUGCUGAAAAGAUUGUUCUGUCUCAUCCUCUGAUUCUGCACACCUCACAUCAGUGAUCAGAAGUAAGAACUGACGGCCAUCGGUAGAACUUAUUCUUCCACAGAGUUGAAGAGGGGGAAUGAUCUAAGUAAGCCCGUGGAUGACGUGGAUUGCAGGAAGUGUCGGGAGAAGCAGCGAGGGACUGAACAGCAACCUCUUCUUGAGAAAAGCGCAGCCAGUGACCAGUAUGGCUGCCAUCGCUCUCCGAGAACCGCAGUACAUGCGUUUGCGGAAUUCAUCUAAUGAUCAAUACACUGAUACAUUCAUGUAUUUAUACUUAUUAGUUAUUAAGUAUAAAAGAGGGGAUUGUUAAAAUGUAUUCUUUAGUAGCCUUGGCGAACCUUCCUAUCUUGACCUUCUUGGAGACAGGAUGCUCCUGUCUUUGCUGACCUGUACAUUUUGUGCUAUCGCGUGACUGGAUGUUAGAAGACCAAGGGCGUUCAGUUAGAAGAUAGCUAUAAGCACAUCCUGUUCCCUUUUCUUACGCACAUAUGUUUCUGACCCCUAUCUCUGUCAACACAUGAUAACUCUGUCCGUGUCACAAUGACCUCUCCGCCUUUCCUACGCACUAUGGCUUGGACUGAUGUGUACAUAUACCCUGCUUUGCAGCCCAGUUCUCUGAGCAGUUGUAUUGAAUAAACCAGACUUGAUUUUAA